CAUUCAGGCAUUUAUAUGUAUGUCCUUGCAACGGAGGCGCGUUGGCUGCAGACUAUUGAUGUUGAUUCCGGUCUACCUGUUUAUGCGCCUCUAGAAGUCACAGUAAAGGAAACAAAACUUUAUUCAGAAACCAAGAUUUUGUGAGAUUACCCCGUGAAUUUUGCCAGAGCGUGUGCUAUUCUAAAGAGAAUUUGUGUCUGUGGUCCCCGAUACUGGCCCCAACAAAUUGAGCUAGUCCCAGAAGAGAAAAAUUGGUGGAACUUUGGGGACAAGAGUGACCCCUUCAAUUCUGGUGUUAUUUAUGUCAAAAGGAAGGUAGGAGCUUGUUCGUAUGUUGAUGAUCCAGUUGGGUGUCAGUCGCUGCUAUCACGAGCAAUGCAUAAGGUUUUUGGUUUAAGAACUCUGGGGGAAUCUAAUAUGCUUGCUAAUAGUCAUAGAGAACUGGAUUCUGAUAGUGUCGAUCACUUGGU